rnacentral:lncRNA from 1 species
CUGGGCCCGGCGUCCCCCUAGGGGACAGCGGCCUGGGCCCGGCGAUCACGGCCUGGCGUUGUCCUGUCGCCCUCCGGUCCUCCCGCACCGCACCUGGAACAGGCUUGGCCGUGCCUCCUCCGCGUCGCCGUCAUCGUCGCCCGUGUCCUCAUCGGUCGUAUCAUCCGCCUGGCCAUCCUCGCCGUCCUCCUCGCUCUCGUCCUCCCAGGUGGAAUCGCAUUCCGGGUCGUCCAUACUCGACAGGCUGGACCCGCUUUCCGCGGAAAGGAAAGUGAAAGAGGAGGAAGCGCGGGGGCGGGGCGGCGCCAGGUCCCGCCCACCGCUCAGUUUCCGCCCUUGCGCGGAGUCCCCCAGCAGGGGCUGCUACGCUCGGAGCUAGGCGGGAAGCGGUGUCCUGGAGAAGGCAGUGCCCCCCGCCCCCCGCCCAGAAGGACAACCCUGGAGGCGCGUGCACCGGGAUUCCUGCCUCUAUCCCCUCCGGGAAGACGCACCACUUUGGACUCAGCCCCAGGUCCGCCCCCUUGAGAUUUCACUUCCCUGCAGACUAUCCAGAGAGGGAUGCUAGGAAGGUUUCUCUUCAGUCCUACGGGAAGUGCCUCUUCCUGCCAGCCGUCUGGGUGCAGGUUCCUAAUCUUUGUCGACCUGUCUAACUGCAGAUCUUCCUGGCUGCCCUCUGUAUAGCUCACUUUGUAUGUGUGUGUGUGUGUGUGUGUGUGUGUGUGUGUGUGUGUGUGUGUGUGUAUCUGUGUGUGUUUGGCUGCCCAAGGACACCAGAGGUCGGUAUUGAGUAUUUCCUGAGUAGCUUGUUCACACUUUCAUUCAGGGUUAGGGUUAGGGUUAGGGUUAGGUACCUGGAGUGCAUAGGUUACUUGAGGUUGCUAAGCAGCAAAUCCCUGGGACACUACUGUCUCUGCCUCCCCAGCACCGUAAUUACAGUUACACACCACCAAGCGCAGCUUCUAGGUGGUAAUCAAACGCAGGUUCUCCUGUUAUCAAGGCUUUUGUUUUUGUUUUUGUUUUUGUUUUUGUUUUUUCCCAAUUGAGCCAGUUCCACACUCCCUCUGCUUUGUGAGUUCAGUCCCACUCCUGCCCACUGCAGAUUUCCUGGGCUCAUGUGGCUAGGUAGCCUUUGGAUGUUAGGUGGCCUCUACUGCCGACUGUGGCCAUGAGCUCGACCUUGUUAUGUAACAUACUGUUUGAAGCAAGAAAGCAAUGGAAGGUAAGGGAGACAUGGGUGGGCAGCAGGGUAAAGGACCCUAAGUCCACCAUGGUUGAAGUUUCUCACCAGUUGAGAGUUCUCAAUUCUAGGAUAGUUGACAAAAUUUGCUUUAAGACUGCCUACAUAGAGAAAAUAAUCCUUUUAUAUAGCCAUAUUCCAAAUAAUGUUAAUCAGGCUUAUAUGUAUAUGUUUAUGACCUUCAAGUGUGGCCUUCUUUACUAAAUUCGAACCUGUAACAUUCUGGGAAUCUCAAGGUGAAAACAUAUUGUCUCUAUAUAUUUAUAGAGUAUAACAAUAACUAUAACAAUGCAGUAUGUAACAGAGACUACAGUAUGUUAAAGUUCCAUAGUUCCUUGAGUUGGAACCUCAGAAACCACCAAAAUCAGACUGGUGGGCCACUGUGGAGACUCCCUCAGCCUGGGACCCAGACAGUAUAAAGCAAAGACUGAUGGGCCACUGUGGAGACUCCCUCAGUCCCUGGGACCCAGACAGUAUAAAGCAAAGACUGAUGGGCCACUGUGGAGACUCCCUCAGUCCCUGGGACCCAGACAGUAUAAAGCAAAGACUGAUGGGCCACUGUGGAGACUCCCUCAGUCCCUGGGACCCAGACAGUAUAAAGCAAAGACUGAUGGGCCACUGUGGAGACUCCCUCAGCCUGGGACCCAGACAGUAUAAAGCAAAGACUGAUGGGCCACUGUGGAGACUCCCUCAGUCCCUGGGACCCAGACAGUAUAAAGCAAGAACUGACUUAUGAACGUUGUCUCUGAUCUCCACAUGUGCACCCAUACAAAUAUAUAUGCUUGUUAAAUUAAAAAAAAAAUGUAAACUCUG